rnacentral:lncRNA from 1 species
AAAGAUCAUCAUAAACUCACUGCAACAACAUUAUUUGCAAAUAUUAAAUUAACAGACACGAAUCAAAAGUUAAUAAUUAAUAGUAAUUAAUAAAUAAAAACUUAGUCAAUUUUACUAUAAUCAAACGAUUUUGUAUUGAUUAGCUCUAAUCCUUACAAGAAACAAAAGACCACAUUCUAUCAGGAGUUACCUAUUCGAAAUCUUGGAGGAAUUGCGGUUUUCUAUUGUACGGUUGAAUACGUGGAAAAUCUUGGAGAACACUGAAAGGGGCGAGAGUGAGGGUUAGGUUUAGGGCGCGCGAGAGUGAGAAGACAGUGAAGGGAAGAGUGAGUGAAGGCGAGAGUGAAGAGCGACAGUGAAGGGAAGAGUGAGUGAAGGCGAGAGUGACAGUGAAGGGAAGAGUGAAAAGAGGGUUUCGUUCCAAAAGAGAUGGUUUCGUUCGUGAAGAGUUUGCAGAGAGAGGAGAGGGAAGAGUCACGUUUAGUUCACUAGGUUUCCAGGGAGUGAAAGGUGAU